CAGGGGAACUCCAGAAGUAAAUGCUCCUUCAGAGAGGACCAAAACCCCGCUACAAAGUGAACCAUUUAGUUUCAUUGCAUUGAAGUCUGCCUCUUUUCCAGUGGUAGAUCAUCCUGAAACCGGUAGUAUUGCUACCUCAAAUCCUUUGGCAGUUACAGACAAUAUAUUGGCACCAUCAUCCUGGAACCGGUAGUAUUGCUACCUCAAAUCCUUUGGCAGUUACAGACAAUAUGUUGGCGCUGAAGCCUUCUGAGGAUCCUUCAACAUCUUCUGCACUUCCUGAAUGUCAAAUUGGUUUGGGGGGCAAUUCCAAAAGCCAGAAUAUAUUAGAUGAAGGCAGU
rnacentral:lncRNA from 1 species